GUCAGUGCCACACAGGAGACAGCAUGGACAUGAGGGCCCCUGCUCAGCUCCUGGGGCUCCUGCUGCUCUGGCUCCCAGGUGCCAGAUGCGCUUUUCAGAUCACCCAGUCACCAUCUGUGGUGUCUGCAAAUGUGGGAGGCACAGCCACCAUCAACUGCCAGUCAAGUCAGAGCGUUUACAAGAACAAUUAUCUAGCCUGGUUUCAGAAGCAACCAGGGCAACGUCCAAAGCUCCUGAUCUAUGGUGCAUCCAAUUUAGAAUCUGGAAUCUCCUCAAGGUUCAAGGGCAGUGAAUCUGGAAAAUCAUUCACUCUCACCAUCAACCCGGUGCAGGCUGAGGACGCAGGAACCUACUACUGUUUUAGAGUAUAUAAAGAUCAUAAUGAUACCACAGUGAUACAAGCCUGA